CGGCGCAGCCCCCAGUUCCCAUCCCCAAUUCCUCUCUCUCUCCCUUUCCCUCGUCUGCCGCCGCCAGCCCCACCCCCGCCCUCCCCGCAGCCGCCGCCACCACCGGCGCCCAGGUGUGGCGCUGCUCUUCUCCACGGUCCUGACGGCAAGGCGGCGACAAGAGUUAGAAGGCAGACGCGGACGGCCCCGUCAGAUCUCGUCCCGAUGAAGUCAAGGACGAGCUCCACCCGGACGAGGUCGAUCCGCCCCCCUGCCACACUUCUCCAUCGCGUCACCAUAUUUGGAGGAGCCGCGACUGCUGCUUGCGCAUCUGCUCCUCCCGGAGUUGUCGCCAUCGGCAGGAGGAGUGCCGGACCGCGCGCCAACUCGAGGACCGCCGCUCCGGCGGACCGUUGUUUCUGGCCGCCGCCCUCCUCUGGUGCGCCGUCUCGGCCUCCCCCCACCAGGAGCAGCAGCAGCGCCACAUCGGCACCGCCGCGCACCUCGCCGCCGGAGGCUUCGCUGGCAUCGUCAGCAAGACCUGCACCGCGCCCCUCGCCCGCCUCACCAUCCUCUUCCAGGUUUUGAUCGCUCCGGAAGUCACAUCGUCGUCAACUAAGCAGUGAUCAAUGAGCUGGUGAACCUGCACAGGGCGUCUUAUCUCGGUGGGAGGCUGCCGGCGAACAAUGGCAGGAAGAGCCUAUACAUGGCAGGCCCGUUGCCUUUCACUUAUGAAGAGUUUCAUAUCACUCUGCAUGACGAUAAUGAUGGCUCUGGCUCCCAUAGGCGACAAAGGAAUUUUAAGGUGGUGGUUAAGUUCGCCGCGUGACAUCUACAAAUGAAUUUACAAGUGAUUGAUCCAUGGAGUUCAGGCAACAACAACAGCUAGCUCCGUACAGGCUAAAGUGUGAUAGGGAACCGCUUAACAACAAGUUUGCGGUGCAGUCAGUGGGAAAUUGGCAGAUACUUCCCUCACAACGUUGGCACUGAUAUGUCUGUGGCCAUGUUCAGCCGGCUCCAGGUAUCUAGCUAUGGUUGUCGCUGCUACGGAGGCCAGAGGAGGAAGCUACGCUCUUCCAUGGCGGCCAGAGGAGGAGGAGGCACUUCUCCGGUCAGAUCAGUGGCUACCAUGUCGCCGUCAACGUCCACCCUCCUCGACAGAUCAACUUACUCCCAAGGCAACUGCUCCUGAUCUUGAACACGAGCUUGGAAAUCUGGCACCGACAUAUGCAGCUGCCGGUCAAAUUUCUCCAUAUUUUGGUUUGGAGAUUUUUGGAAGGAACAGUUGUUUAAUUGCUCAGAACCAUCUCUCAAAUGGAAACAUACAGCGAAGUUUUUCAGUAUAUGAGUUAUAUUGGAAACAGCAGCGCAUCUGGAACUCUCAGUAGGGGUGAUUUUCUUGUCAAAGGAUAUAUAAAGGGACAUUAGUUGCGCGGGUUAUCAUGCUUUAUUAGAAGGCAAGCUAGAGUCCAUUGUUCAAAGUACACCUGGAAAUCCGCAGGCUACCAUUUUAUAAGGAGAAGGAUUACAGAAAGGAAGGAUCAGCCUUGUCGGCAAUCUCUGUUUUCGAGUCGAACGACUAGUCGCGACUAGUCGUCGACUAGUCGACAAGUCGUUACAUGAAGGUCGACUCAACCUGUCGACUCGAAUCAUUGGAUGAGUCGAUCGACUCGAUCGACUAGUCCCGACUAGUCUCGACUAGUCGCAGUUUUUGAGGCGAACGACUCGUUCAAUCUGUCAUGAAAGAGAAGUUGGGCAGAGAAAAUGGAGCAGGGAAGGAGGGGUGGCUCCAGGGAAGGAUGGGGGAGGCGGAGAGGAAGGGGUGGAGGCAGAGAAGCCAUGGAGGAGGAGCUGCAGCAAGGCCAUUGCGGCUGUCGAUUCGUGCCUGGGGGCUGGAAGGGGAGCAGGUGAGAGAGAGAGUUAAGACGAGAGUGGAUGGGCGGUGAAGAUUAGAGAAUAUGGAUGGUCCAGAUUGAGCUAGGCAGGCUAGGGUUUCAUUGGGCCUUACUGGGCCAAUAUUGCCGUGUGGGCCAGUAUUGAAGGAAGAUUGGAGCGUCUGGAAACCUAGAUCGAACAGUUCCAGCCCCCCUCCCCCGACCCAGCCCUCUUCUGCAGCAGCCGCCGCCCUGGCUUGCUGCUCGUCCCCUUCUCCCCUGGUUGCUGCUGCCUGCUGCUCAUCCCUUGGUUGCCGCUGUUGUUGGGCUGCUCCUCCCAUCUCCUGAUGGCCUUGUCUUGGUUGGUUGCUGCGACUCCUCCCUUGGUUGCCGCUGGCUGCUGCUGGUCUGCUGCUGGUCUGCUCCCUACUGCUUAACUCACGUCGACUCAUCGCAUGUCGACUCGUCGACCAUGAGUCUAGACUAGUCACGACUAGUCUAGAGUCGCCCCCCCUGAGCGACUCGUCGACUCAUCGACUC